GACGGAACCGUGCGAACGUUGUUCGGAUUCACUGGGCUUAAAGGGUGCGUAGGCUGCGCGGAGGUGGGAUGUGAAAUCCCCCGGCUCAACCGGGGAAUAGCGUCCCAAACCGCCGUGCUCGAGGGAGACAGAGGUGAGCGGAACUGAUGGUGGAGCGGUGGAAAUGACGUUGAUAUCAUCAGGAACACCAGUGGCGAAGGCG
rnacentral:rRNA from 1 species